rnacentral:rRNA from 1 species
CGAUAACGAACGAGACCUUAACCUGCUAAAUAGCCCGUAUUGCUUUGGCAGUACGCCGGCUUCUUAGAGGGACUAUCGGCUCAAGCCGAUGGAAGUUUGAGGCAAUAACAGGUCUGUGAUGCCCUUAGAUGUUCUGGGCCGCACGCGCGCUACACUGACAGAGCCAGCGAGUACUCCCUUGGCCGGAAGGCCUGGGUAAUCUUGUUAAGCUCUGUCGUGCUGGGGAUAGAGCAUUGCAUUUAUUGCUCUUCAACGAGGAAUCCCUAGUAAGCGCAAGUCAUCAGGUUGCGUUGAUUACGUCCCUGCCCUUUGUACACACCGCCCGUCGCUACUACCGAUUGAAUGGCU